rnacentral:lncRNA from 1 species
AGCAUGCACAGUCAACUCGGCAGAAAGAGUCUGAGAUGAAGAACUCGUUUUGACCCUCAAAUUCUUGGGUCGACUUACUAGGCGUUGUGGGUUGCACGUGCCGAUUCACCACCCUUGAAUCAAAUCCUUAAAGAUCAAGUCACCAACUGGAAGAAUAGCCCAUCAAUCUUGAAGAUCAUAUCGUUGACCAAACUGCUCAGGUG